AGUCGAACGAAGUAGCAAUACUUAGUGGCAGACGGGUGAGUAACAUGUGGGUAUCUUCCCUUUGGUGAGGAAUAACACGAGGAAACUUGUGCUAAUACCUCAUAAGUCUUUACGGAGAAAGCUUUAUGCGCCAAUGGAUGAGCCCGCACUUGAUUAGUUUGUUGGUGGGGUAAUGGCCUACCAAGACUUUGAUCAAUAGCUGAUCUGAGAGGAUGAUCAGCCACAUUGGGACUGAGACACGGCCCAAACUCCUACGGGAGGCAGCAGUAGGGAAUAUUGCACAAUGGAGGAAACUCUGAUGCAGCGAUGCCGCGUGAGUGAAGAAGGCCCUUGGGUUGUAAAGCUCUUUCGUCGGGGAAGAAAAUGACUGUACCCGAAUAAGAAGGUCCGGCUAACUUCGUGCCAGCAGCCGCGGUAAUACGAAGGGACCUAGCGUAGUUCGGAAUUACUGGGCUUAAAGAGUUCGUAGGUGGUUAAAAAAGUUGGUUGUGAAAUCCCGGAGCUUAACUCCGGAACUGCAAUCAAAACUUUUUAGCUAGAGUAUGAUAGAGGAAAGCAGAAUUUCUAGUGUAGAGGUGAAAUUCGUAGAUAUUAGAAAGAAUACCAAUUGCGAAGGCAGCUUUCUGGAUCAUUACUGACACUGAGGAACGAAAGCAUGGGUAGCGAAGAGGAUUAGAUACCCUCGUAGUCCAUGCCGUAAACGAUGUGUGUUAGACGUUGGAAAUUUAUUUUUUAGUGUCGCAGCGAAAGCAAUAAACACACCGCCUGGGGAGUACGACCGCAAGGUUAAAACUCAAAUGAAUUGACGGGGACCCGCACAAGUAGUGGAGCAUGUGGUUUAAUUCGAAGAUACGCGCAGAACCUUACCAACACUUGACAUGUUCGUCGCGACUCUAAGAGA
rnacentral:rRNA from 1 species